GGCGGCGAUGAGCGGCGGCGGUGGAGGAUGAUCCCUUUCUCUUCUUCGAUGGUUCUGCCAUUUGAUGAAG
rnacentral:pre_miRNA from 1 species